CUCUGCAUUAACUGGCAGGUGCUGCCUAUCCCUAAUUAGCUCCCAGCAGAGGGCCCUUAUUUAAAACAUGAACUGACUUCUCUCCUUGCCAGUUCAUAGGUCUCCAUACCUGCUGGACACCGAGUCUACGUUACUGAUUUCCAAGUUCCAGUCCAAUCCUGUUUCUGAACUCUCUCCCGUGCAGUUCAUGUUCCUGUUUCCCAAAGCUCCCCUGUUCUUCUUUCCCUUGUUGGCUAGUGUAUGCAUAUCCCUGGACUUUUGUUUACCUUGAGCUGCUGAGCCACAGACCCAAAGCCACAGAAGAAGAAAUACAGAUAGAAAUUCGGCUGGAUCAUUUUAGCUGUUUAAGAAAAUCUCAGCAAUGCCUGGAAUCAACUGUCAGCGCACUGAGAAAAUGAAGGACAAUGCCUCCUUCACUGAAGGCAACGUUCUCCCAACAUCUGCCAAAUCCAGACUUUUCCCUCAGACUGCCAGAUGAUGAAAUGCCAUUUAUCACUCACAUUUCUAUUGCAGUCCAAUGGUGGCGACCCUUACACCACUCCAGUGUCGGACUGGCCCACCGGGACACCGAAAGAAAUCCCGGUGGGCCCCAGUCCUUGUGGGCCUCUGCAACUACUAGUUCACUUGCUACACUAUUUUUCAUUUUUUUUUGUUAGUACUUGGAUUGUGCGCUCUGGCUUUGAGCGCUCCGGUUUUGUGCAGUCGCCCAGUUUUAUGGGCCACGCUGGACCUAGUGGGCCCCGCUGCCACUGCUCCACCUGGGCUGGCACCUGUAAGCUAACCUGUGCUGUUCUUCUUCCGGUCUCCCUGCUGUGACCAGGAUCGAUUGUGCAGCUUUCUUUCAGUUUUGCCUGAUGAUGUCACUCCCGCCAGGCAGGAAUCAGUGAGCAGCGUGUCAGUGAGGGAGCGGCUGUAUACAGAAGUGCUAGUGUGGUGGUUCCUUGCUGUCUAUGUGUGUGCUGAAUUGAUCUCCUGGAUAUUCUGCUGCCUUCUUGACUUCUCUACUGCCAGUUCAUUCCAGAUGAAUUUGAUCUGGCUGGAUUCUACUGUUAUGAGCAAACGAUCUGGGGGGGAUUACAUGGAAUAUGUGGCCCUUAAUUACCCCCAUUACCCAUAUAAUCCUGAGUGCCAUCACCAAUUUCUUUAACUUUACAUUUAACCCCGGACAUCUUUUAAUUUCUAUGUGCUGCCCCACUUUUUUUUUUAUUUCCAGUUGCUUCAUCGCGCUACCCCCGGUUGAGCUAUGAUUUCUUUUUUUUUUUUUACUGGGACUGGGGUGGAAGUGCUUAAAAUGAAUGAAUUAAAUUUUUAUUAAAUAAAUGAAGUGCUUACUGUUUUUAUUUGAUUGAUGAGGUGUAAUAUGAUUUUUUAAUCAGUUAAUGAA